rnacentral:rRNA from 1 species
GACGAACGCUGGCGGCGUGCUUAACACAUGCAAGUCGAACGGCAAGGCCCUGCUUUUGUGGUGUUCUCGAGUGGCGAACGGGUGAGUAACACGUGAGUAACCUGCCCUUGACUUUGGGAUAACUUCAGGUAACUGGGGCUAAUACCGUAUCGGAGCUCCUGCUGCGUGGUGGGCGUUGGAAAGUUUCGGCGGGUGGGGAUGGACUGGCGGCUUAUCAGCUUGUUGGUGGGGUAGUGGCUUACCGAGGCUUUGACGGGUACCCGGCCUGGGAGGGUGAACGGGGACAAUGGGACUGAGAUACGGACCAGACUCGAACGGGAGGCAGCAGGGGGGAGUAUUGCACAAUGGGAGGAAGCGGGAGGAAGAAACGCCGGGGGCGGGAAGACGGCCUGCGGGAUGUAAAAAGCUGUCGCCUGUGACGAAGCGGGAGUGACGGUAAUGGGUAAAGAAGCACCGGCUAACUACGUG